rnacentral:snRNA from 1 species
AUAUAUAUAAAAAAAAAAAAAAAAAAAAGUAUCUGUUCUUAUCAGUUUAAUAUCUGGUACGCCAGCACAGUCCGGCUCAUAUAAUACUUUGAUAUUUGGAAUUAGGUCAUAGGAUCAUAGGUUUACCUUGCACUGACCACGGGUUGCCUCGAUUUUGCACUACUGCUGAGCGCGGCCCAGAAUAA